rnacentral:tRNA from 1 species
GCAUCCGUGGUCCAAUGGCAAGACUUCAGCUUCCCAAGCUGACUAUCCGGGUUCGAAUCCCGGCGGGUGCA